GCCCGGGUGGCGAAAUUGGCAGACGCGCUAGGUUCAGGGUCUAGUGUCCAUCGGACAUGCGGGUUCAAAUCCCGCCCCGGGUA
rnacentral:tRNA from 1 species